AUUGAACGCUGGCGGCAGGCCUAACACAUGCAAGUCGAGCGAGCGGCGGACGGGUGAGUAAUGUCUGGGAAACUGCCUGAUGGAGGGGGAUAACUACUGGAAACGGUAGCUCAUAGCGCCUACCAUCAGAUGAGCCCAGAUGGGAUUAGCUAGUAGGUGGGGUAACGGCUCACCUAGGCGACGAUCCGUAACUGGUCUGAGAGGAUGAUCAGGCACACUGGAAAGGAGACACGGUCCAGACUGCUACGGGAGGCAGCAGUGGGGAAUAUUGGACAAUGGGCGAAAGACUGAUCCAGCCAUGCCGCGUGUGUGAAGAAGGUCUGCGGAUUGUAAAGCACUUUAUGUUGGGAGGCGUUACCAACAGAAUAAGCACCGGCUAACUUCGUGCCAGCAGCCGCGGUAAUAC
rnacentral:rRNA from 1 species